AGAGUUUGAUCCUGGCUCAGAAUCAACGCUGGCGGCGUGCCUAACACAUGCAAGUCGAGCGAGAAAGGGGGGGCAACUCCCUGAGUAAAGCGGCGCACGGGUGAGUAACACGUGGGUAAUCUGCCCUAGAGUGGGGAACAACACCGGGAAACCGGUGCUAAUACCGCAUACGAUCACGGGGUCUGCGGACCUUGGGAUGAAAGGAGCAAUUCGCUCUGGGAGGAGCCCGCGGCUGAUUAGCUAGUUGGUGAGGUAAUGGCUCACCAAGGCAACGAUCAGUAUCCGGUCUGAGAGGACGGUCGGACACACUGGAACUGAGACACGGUCCAGACUCCUACGGGAGGCAGCAGUGGGGAAUUUUUGGCAAUGGGGGCAACCCUGACCAAGCAACGCCGCGUGGGUGAUGAAGUCUCUUGGGACGUAAAACCCUUUCGACGGGGAAGAAAACCGCAAGGUUUGACGGUACCCGUAGAAGAAGCCCCGGCUAACUCCGUGCCAGCAGCCGCGGUAAUACGGGGGGGGCAAGCGUUGUUCGGAAUUACUGGGCGUAAAGGGUGCGUAGGCGGUUUGCUAUGUUGGAUGUGAAAACUCUGGGCUCAACCCAGAGCCUGCAUCCAAAACUGGCAGGCUAGAGUUCUGGAGGGGGUAGCGGAAUUCCUGGUGUAGCGGUGAAAUGCGUAGAUAUCAGGAGGAACACCGGUGGCGAAGGCGGCUACCUGGACAGAAACUGACGCUGAGGCACGAAAGCUAGGGGAGCAAACAGGAUUAGAUACCCUGGUAGUCCUAGCCCUAAACGAUGG
rnacentral:rRNA from 1 species